UCGAAUGAAACAAAAGAAUGAAUAACUUAAUCAAAAAAAUAAUACAUUGGUUUUCGGUACACUUUUGACCCCCUGGUGGUAUAUCUCUGAUUUCACUGGUUUAAUUUUUCAAUUCCUUCUUAUUUUCCAA
rnacentral:ribozyme from 1 species